rnacentral:rRNA from 1 species
GACGAACGCUGGCGGCGUGCCUAAUACAUGCAAGUCGAGCGGACCGAAGGGAGCUUGCUCCUUUAGGUUAGCGGCGGACGGGUGAGUAACACGUGGGCAACCUGCCCUGCAGACUGGGAUAACUUCGGGAAACCGGAGCUAAUACCGGAUAACACCGAAAACCGCAUGGUUUUCGGUUGAAAGGCGGCAUUAGCUGUCACUGCAGGAUGGGCCCGCGGCGCAUUAGCUAGUUGGUGAGGGUAACGGCCCACCAAGGCGACGAUGGGUAACCGGCCUGAGGGGGUGAACGGUCACAUUGGAACUGAGACACGGUCCAA